GAUGAAGAACGUAGCGAAAUGCGAUACUGGGUGUGAAUUGCAGAAUCCCGUGAACCAUCGAGUCUUUGAACGCAAGUUGCGCCCGAAGCCAUUAGGCCGAGGGCACGCCUGCCUGGGCGUCACACGACGUUGCCCCCCCAUCUAAUCCGUCGGGCUUGCGGGGGGCGGAUGAUGGCCUCCCGUGCGCCUCGUCGCGCGGUUGGCAUAAAUGCCAAGUCCUCGGCGACGCACGCCACGACAAUCGGUGGUUGCGAAACCUCGGUUGCCCGUUGUGUGCGGUCGUCGCGCAUCGAGGGCUCGAAAAAAUUGCCGGGCUCCGGCUCGACUUUCAACGCGACCCCAGGUCAGGCGGGGUUACCCGCUGAAUUUAAGCAUAUCAAUAAGCGGAGA
rnacentral:misc_RNA from 1 species